rnacentral:snoRNA from 7 species
CUGCAGUGAUGACUAUCUUAGGACACCUUUGGAUUUACCGUGAAAAGAAGUAACCUCUGAGCAGC